rnacentral:misc_RNA from 1 species
GCUAAGUUUUAGGUACUUCCAUGUUUCUACUGUGGUCCAAAUGACUAGUCAGCAUGGGAGAGUUGCACUGAGAGACGAUCAUUUUCAAGGGGCCAAUGGCCCGGUGUUGGCAUGACAAAUUGCCAAAUUGGUAGCUUGUCGGUUUUCCGUUUGUCCAAGAGAGAGUUUUGAACUAUUCAUUUGGGCCAAACAGGUCUAUUCAAUGCGUGAGGCA